GCGCCAGCCACCGUCCGCGAGGCCUUGGCGCGCCCGUGACGUCACUGUCGUGCGCCUCUCCCGCAGCAAGGGGAAUAUGGCUCUAGCACGGCGGCUGCGGCUGUUGUUGCUCGCGGCUCGGUUGCUUCUGGCGCCUCGCCGGGACCUGACGGUCCGCGGUCCCAACGAGCCCCUGCCCAUGGUGCGCAUCCCGCGGGCUCUACAGCGGCGGCAGGAAGAGCGGCAGAGCGGGCAGCGGAGCCUCCCGCGGCUGGUGCUGGUGCGACCUGGGCCGCUGCUGAUCUCAGCGAGGCGACCGGAGUUGAACCAGCCGGCACGCCUCACGCUGGGCCCUUGGGAGCCCGCGCCACUCGCUUCGCGCAGCUGGAGGAAUCGGCGCGCCCACGGGGACCAUUUCUCCAUCGAGCGCGCGCAACAUGAGGCUCCGGCGCUGCGGAACCUCUCGCCCAAGGGCAGCUUCACCAAUCUGAGUCUGGAGCUCCGCGUUCUGAGCGCACUACAAGAGGCUGCUCCCGAAGUUGUUCGGCCCACAACCGUGCAGUCGAGUACCAUUCCCCCACAUCUUCGCGGCCGCCACAUCCUCUGCGCCGCAGAAACCGGCAGUGGCAAAACUCUCGGCUACAUGCUACCUCUCCUUCAACGGCUCUUGGGCCAGCCAAGCCUGGACCCCUGUCGUAUCCCUGCUCCUCGAGGCCUGGUUCUUGUGCCUUCUCGAGAAUUAGCUAAACAGGUGCGGGCCGUGGCCCAGCCCUUGGGCAGCUCCUUGGGCCUCCAGGUGCGGGAGUUAGGGGGAGGCCAUGGCAUGAGUAGGAUUAGGCUGCAACUGUCCAAACAACCUCCAGCAGAUAUACUAGUGGCCACUCCUGGGGCUCUGUGGAAGGCCCUGAAAACUCAACUGGUCAGCCUGGAGCAGCUGUCCUUCUUGGUGUUGGAUGAGGCAGACACGCUGUUGGAUGAAAGCUUCCUGGAACUGGUGGAUUACAUCUUGGAGGGGAGCCAUAUAGCAGAAGGCCCAGCUGACUUAAAAGACCCCUUCAAUCCCAAAGCUCAGUUAGUGCUGGUGGGGGCCACAUUUCCCAAAGGUGUAGGCCAGCUGCUGAGUAAAGUUGCCAACUUAGACUCUCUAACUACCGUUACCAGUGACAAGCUCCACUGCAUCAUGCCUCAUGUCAGGCAGACAUUCAUGAGGCUGAAGGGAACAGAGAAGGUGACUGGCUUGGUGCAGAUCCUCAAGCAGCAUGACAGAGCAUAUAGGACUGGCCCCGCAGGAACUGUUCUGGUGUUCUGUAAUUGCUCCAGCACUGUGAACUGGCUGGGGUAUAUUCUGGAUGACCACAAAAUCCAACACUUAAGACUGCAGGGACAGAUGCCAGCCUCAAUGAGAGCAGGCAUCUUCCAGUCCUUCCAGAAGGGCUCCCGAGACAUACUUCUCUGCACAGACAUCGCCUCUCGGGGCCUGGACAGCACCCAGGUGGAGCUAGUCAUCAAUUAUGAUUUCCCUCUCACCCUGCAAGACUACAUCCACAGAGCAGGGAGGGUGGGCCGGGUGGGGAGCGAGGUGCCAGGCACCGUCGUCAGCUUUGUGACCCAUCCCUGGGACGUGAGCCUGGUUCAGAAGAUUGAGCUGGCAGCUCGCCGGAGGAGAAGCCUUCCAGGACUAGGGUCCUCCUCAGUGACAGAGCCUUCGCACCAGCAAACCUUAUUGCAGCAGGCUUAUAUAUGAUGCCACAACAGGGACCUUUCCCUCUGUGCUGGAUGGGUAAGCACACUUGUCAGUAGGGUGCUCUGGGCUGCCUAGUCACCUUCUGAAGGCCCGGGCUGCUGUCUGGCUUCAAAAGCAGCAGUGGCUCCCGUUUCUCUUCCUAUACCUGGUCACUACCGUGUCCUCAACCGAGGGUGUGGAGAAACGCAGUUGGGCUGGCAUGGGGAGACAUACUGCCUGGUUGGUGGCUACCGGGCCUACGGGGAUGUUCCUUUGGCCACGCCAGAAAAGGUGGAAGCAGAGAAGCCAGUCGCCAGACGUGCUCCCUAGAGAAAGUGCCCUCCGGAAGAGUCGGACGAAGACCUGGGUUGCCCCAGACCCAAACUCCGGCGAUUGCAGCAUUCAAGCAGUUUAGGACUAGAAGAUGCUUUGAUUCUCAAGCAGCGUGGCCCAACCUCUGGGCACAUCCCCUCUGCAACAGCCCCAGUACACGAGUGUCCCAUCUUUGCUUUUUCAAGGUCGGCAACAGGGAGUCCCCUCCUAAAGAAGGUUCUCUCUCAUUGCCACACUCUCAAAGGCUGCCCCCAAUGUGGUUCCUUCCUGUGGGCCUGAUCAGGCUAAGGGCAGAGUUGUCUCUUUCCUUCUCUGAGUCGGACCAAAUCGUCUUAGUAACACCUCUUCACAGUGUUGACCAUGUGUUUCACGGGGGCUGCUGCUGAGCCUUUAUCUCAUCCUUUCAUGGUGGAGAGAGAGAGGAUUAUAA